ACACAGCCGGGCUGCUGUUUCUGCUCAUAAACUCUCUCAUACUGGGACAAAUAAUCUCCCAUUACAGACCCGCAGAGGCCCAGCUGAAGAAGACCGACUGACAGACGCCCAUAUCGUCUGGUUGAGAGGAUUCAGAUGUGCUGACCACUAGAUGUCGCCCAACAGCAGAUCUCCAGAUGAACGGCACAGUUUGACUGAUCUGAUUGUUCAACACUUUACAUCUGAUAAAGAGAACAGAUGAGCUUGUAAAUGAGGUGUAGAUGCUUUGUGAUGUGAUAGUGAGCGUGUGUGUCUAUGCAGAGAUGAUCGUGACUGUGGACAAACACGUUUUAUGAGCAAUAUUGACACGUCUGAGGCGUUUGCAGAUGUGUGUGUGUGUGAAGAGUCGAGCCCGCCCACCCGGCGACGUCGCACCAAUAGGAACGAGUGUUGACUGGCGGUGGGCGGGGCAUCUGGAAUAAUUCAUCAUCAGGAGGAGCUGCAGUUAUUUCUCUCAGAUCAGCGUUAAACGGGAUUAAAUCAUCUCUGCUGUGACUAGUUUAGUCUCUCUGGGGUUUUUUCGCUACAUUAGAAGCUUGAAAAAUCUUCUGUUGUCACAAAAUGUUCUGGUAAACGUUUUUCCAAAAUACUGGGCGCAGUUAUUGAAUGCACAAGCAGUCUGCAGAUCUGUUUAUGUCUGACAAGUUCACUGUUAUUACUCGCACACAACACGGUCUCAUUAAAGUGUUCAGAAGGAGCAGCUGAAGCUGGAAACCAUUGUUAUUCAUAACAAAACACUACAACACCACAUAAGCGGGGUCUUUUUGUCAUACAAGAUUUUUAUUUUUAUAAAAGUAAUAAAUAUAACAGGAAGACCCACAUUUGAUUACAGUACAAACUUGUGUAAAACAUCACUGUAUCUUCUGUUCAUAUUUAUUGCCCAUAUUGAAUGCCAGAGGCAAGACGUCAUGUUAAAAUCCUUCCUGAAAUAGUGCAAGAGGCCAUUAAA